rnacentral:tRNA from 1 species
GCGGCGCUAGUCCAGUCUGGUUCAAGACACCAGCCUUCCAAGCUGGAAAUCCCGGGUUCGAAUCCCGGGCGCCGCA